UACGGGGGGAGCAAGCGUUGUUCGGAUUUACUGGGCGUAAAGGGCGCGUAGGCGGUCAGCACAAGUCAGUUGUGAAAUCUCCGGGCUUAACUCGGAAAGGUCAACUGAUACUGUGCGACUAGAGUGCAGAAGGGGCAACUGGAAUUCUCGGUGUAGCGGUGAAAUGCGUAGAUAUCGAGAGGAACACCAGUAGCGAAGGCGGCACUCUGGGCCGGUACUGACGCUGAGGAGCGAAAGCGUGGGGAGCAAACAGG
rnacentral:rRNA from 1 species